GGAAAUCCUUCAGGCACGGGGCAAAUGCGGAGCGACAGCGCCGUGCGGAGCAGGGGACAGCGCCGGGGACACCUGGGCGAGCCCGGACCUGGGCACAGGGCUCGGGAUGGAUUUCCUGACGCUGUUCCUGCUGUACCUGUGCUCCGUGCUGGCCGUGGCUGCCCUGCUGUGCCUGAGCUCGGGAAGGCAGGAGAGCUUCCUCACCAGGAGCGUCACCAGGGCCAGCCAGGUACAGCCCUGCGCUGCCAGGCAGGGAAUGAGCUGCCAGGGGAACCAGCAGCUGCCCUGUGUGCUAAAAUUAGGGCAACUGCUGUAUUUGUUAUCAAAAAAAAGCCAACAAAAGCCAGUGUGUGUGGUCACAGUGAUAAUAUAUUUCAUCCUGCUUUAAUGCCUGCUCUCAAGGAAGUGAGAUAGGAAGUAGAAAUACACUUCUCUGAGAUGGUUCAAUCCUGCCCAAGCAGGUUGUAAAAAUCAUUUGGGUCUCCCAGCCCUGCCCGUGCCUGUCUGGGGUGAGGUUGGAGCUUCCCACCGUGCCAGAAGUGCCUUCCUCACUAACACCACAACACAUCUCAGAAAAAUUAAAUAAGAAUCGGGCCCCAGGGAUUUGCAGUUUUGUGGUGUUGCUGCUGUCAUCAAGAGGAGAAAGGUGGGGGAGGUUUGAGGAUUAAAAUAGGGAGAGAAUUAUAAGUGGUGGCAAAUAUUUGAGGGAAAGCUCUUUAAUGUGUGUACUAAUGCUGCAGGCUCUUGUUCAAUAAGAAAGAAGCAGGAAUGAAGAGCUUUAAAAGAGGAUUAAGAAUUGGCAUUUUAUUGUAAAAACGAGGAAUUGGGAAAGCACCAGUUCAUUUUUCUGUUUGUUGGGCUGUGUCUGAAUGAAAAGGAAAAAAUAAUGCUGUAAUAUUUCUGGAAGGUAAAGGAUGAGAAAAUUAUCACUUAAAUCGAAAAUUAUGUUUAAUGCUGUUCACAGGAGUUCAGGCAGACUUUUUUUUAUUACUGGCAUUAUACUUCCUUUUGGUUUAUAGACACACUGUGCAGAGAAAUUGAUUUUUUUCCCCCAUAUCUUAAUAGCUGCUGCUAUGAAGUGUUUAGACAGCAGCAAUUAAAUUACUGCUGUGGUAUGAAGCCACUGUCUGGGGGAAUCCAAUCAAUACUUGUGCCUGGGAAAUAAAUACAUAUGAAUGUAAUCA
rnacentral:lncRNA from 1 species